rnacentral:lncRNA from 1 species
CCACAUCCUAAUGCCCAGAAGCUGUGAAUACGUUAACCUUACGUAGUAAAAGGGACCUUGCAGAUCUGAUUAAAUUAAGGGCCUUGAGAUGAAGAGAUUAUCCUCGAUUGUCAGGUGGGCUCAAUCUAAUCACAAGGAGCCUUAUAAGAGGGAGGCAAGAGGAUCAAGGUCAAUAGAAGGAAUUUGACAAUGACCCUGGGGACCAGAAUCUGAAGUGGAGAGACACCCAGAAGAAAGAUAUUUGGAGUUGAUGAAUUCUGAUGGUGGUACACCUGAUCCCCAAAGCUACAGUCUUUCCAUUCCUUCCAGAGGCUUAACAAGAUUGAACAUUCUCACCCAUUUUGGAAUGUGGUGGCAAAGCGACUGACUUUGGCCAACAAAGUAUGAGCAGAACUGACACCUGUCACUUCUGGGAGGAAGUCUGUAAGAGCCAGUGUUAGAUUCACUGUCUCCUUGUCUGCUUUAGCAACAUCGGUGGUCCAGAUAGUGACCUCUCCAUCCACCGGGUCCUAGAGUGAGGGUAAUGCGAUGCUGAGCCCCUAGCUGACCUGAAAUAAAUCUUUGUUGUUUUAAGCCACUGGUAUGUUUUGGAGCUGUUUACAUCUACCACAUAAGCUAGCCUGCCUAGAAUUCCAUGGAAAGCAUUUAACGCCUAGUAACCUGUCAGUCUGGAUGAGUGGUGAGGUCACA